rnacentral:snRNA from 1 species
UUCACUUUGGGUCCCUCAACUUUAUAUCGAGUUUAGUAUCGGAUAUGUGGGCCAUGUUCGCAUGGCCUGCUUCUGUAUCCAAAUAUUUUUUUAUGGGGAAGGGCCCAUUAGUGGUUCUGCCACUAGGGCCCUUGCGCGUUGCCGAGGCGUUGCACUGCUGCCCGGGCCGGCGCACCCCAA